rnacentral:rRNA from 1 species
UAAGGAAUAUUUGUCAAUGGACGCAAGUCUGAACCAGCCAUGCCGCGUGAAGGAUGAAGGUCCUCUGGAUUGUAAACUUCUUUUAUCUGGGACGAAAACGGGAUUUUUAUCUCAAUUGACGGUACCAGAGGAAUAAGCACCGGCUAACUCCGUGCCAGCAGCCGCGGUAAUACGGAGGGUGCGAGCGUUAUCCGGAUUUACUGGGUUUAAAGGGUGCGUAGGUGGGCUUAUAAGUCAGUGGUGAAAUCUCCGAGCUUAACUUGGAAACUGCCGUUGAUACUAUAGGUCUUGAAUUAUCUGGAGGUAAGCGGAAUAUGUCAUGUAGCGGUGAAAUGCUUAGAUAUGACAUAGAACACCAAUUGCGAAGGCAGCUUACUACAUAUAAAUUGACGCUGAGGCACGAAAGCGUGGGGAUCAAACA